rnacentral:rRNA from 1 species
CCUACGGGCGGCAGCAGUGAGGAAUAUUGGUCAAUGGUCGGAAGACUGAACCAGCCAUGCCGCGUGCAGGAUGACGGUUCUAUGAGUUGUAAACCGCUUUUGUCCGGGAACAAUAGCUCUUACGCGUCGCGGUUUGAAUGUACCUGAAGAAUAAGGAUCGGCUAACUCCGUGCCAGCAGCCGCGGUAAUACGGAGGAUUCGAGCGUUAUCCGGAUUUAUUGGGUUUAAAGGGUGCGUAGGCUGUCGGAUAAGUUAGCGGUCAAAUGUCGGGGCUUAACCCCGGGCCUGCCUCUGAUACUGGUCGACUAGAGUGCGAGUGCAGCAGGCGGAAUGAGUGGUGUAGCGGUGAAAUGCAUAGAUAUUGCUCAGAACACCGAUUGCGAAGGCAGCAUGC